rnacentral:lncRNA from 1 species
UCACCAUCUACAUACCACACAUUCUGUAAAUAGCAAAGCCUGAUAAUAACCAAACUGCAAAUGGAAAGCAGCGCUACAUUAUUUGAACACAAACACACAGCUGAAAUGAGCUGUUAAACACACACUGCUGACUCAGUGUGACUGAGGGCUGUGGUGACCGCUGCCAUAUGUGCCAUAAGAGGAAAAAAACAACACCCUGAUUAAACAAAAAUAAUUGAAACAUUCACACACAUACUCAGAAGAGCUUGCGUGCAAUGAGACUGAAAAACCACUUCAUCGCCACUUCCCCAAAUUUCUGCACACAGCUCAUCUUUCUGUCCAUCAGAUGGUCAUAUUUCUCUUUCUGACAGACAAAGCAGAUCGGCUCAGCUGAUGGACAUGAGGUCUCUGUUGUUACUAUCAGUGUUGGUGGCUCUCAUAAGGGAAGGCGAGGGACAGAAUCUAACAGGUAAAUACACACAUUUCAUUGCACACACUUCUACAGACUGUGCACAUGAUCAAAUCAACUGAAACAAUAAAUGUGGUAAAGACCAGUAAAGAUGAUCAGCUCUGCUUGAUCUUCAAAACGAAACACAUUUAAUCACAUUAAAUCUAUUAUGAACGCAGUGUUGAGGAAAAACCCAGUGGUAUUUCCAGAAUUUAGUGCAGAACAUCUGAUAUUACUAUUGUUACAUGUUUAAAAUGUAUUGCGUAUAUUAAGUACCUCACAGAGGGUCAUUUAUAAUGAGCUUCCAACCAGGUCCGUGGCCACAGCAGGGGGUCUGCUAUAGACUGAACAGCCCGACUCCUACAAAAUAAUCAACAAGCAACAGAGACUUGACCAGAUGAAUUUAAGAUCUACGAAUCCUUCUAAAGAAUCUCAAUGUUAGAAACGAGCAGCAUCAAGAUCCAUGAUCACUUGUGGCACAUUUCACAUCAAUUAGAGACAGUCAAAAACUAAACUCGGCAGCAAACCCACAGCCCAACGCAUGCUUUUACACAGAAGCAGCCCAAAACAUUCAGUUAGAAUUUAAAUCAGAGAGAGGGCUGAAACUAUAACUUCAUAAAUAAAUAAAUGCAUAAUUAUAAAUGCAUAACUUAAAAAAAUAAUAAUAACUUAGUACAUAAAUACACACACAUAAAGAACUGAAUUAAAGAAAGCAAACUUCUCCAAUUACUCCAGUCAUCUUUUUUGUAGAGUAGACUGCACUAAAUCACUAGUUUUAAGUUAUGGUCUAUCAAUCAAUCAUUCAUAUUUCAUAAUAGUAAUCAGACAUCCUGCCGUU